rnacentral:rRNA from 1 species
GACGAGGGGUCCAAGCGUUGUUCGGAAUCAUUGGGCGUAAAGCGGGUGUAGGUGGCUCUGUAAGUCAGGAGUGAAAGCCCCGAGCUUAACUUGGGAAGUGCUUUUGAUACUGCAGAACUUGAGUGUGGGAGAGGAUCGUGGAAUUCCAGGUGUAGUGGUGAAAUACGUAGAUAUCUGGAGGAACACCGGUGGCGAAGGCGGCGAUCUGGCCCAACACUGACACUGAGACCCAAAAGCGUGGGGACAUCAAACAGGGAUUAGAAUAACCCCGUAGCCC